UGGUUCUGGCAUCGAUGAAGAACGCAGCGAAAUGCGAUAAGUAAUGCGAAUUGCAGAAUUCCAGUGAGUCAUCGAAUCUUUGAACGCACAUUGCGCCCUUUGGUAUUCCGAAGGGCAUGCCUGUUCGAGCGUCAUUAUCACCCCUCAAGCCCCCCGGGUUUGGCGUUGGACGGCCUGGUCCCGGCACCCCCGGGACCCCUCCUAAAGACAAUGACGGCGGCCUCGUGGCACCCCCGGUACACUGAGCUUCUUAACCGAGCACGUACUGGACUUUUAGGGCGCCCGAGCCACGGCCUCUUCCUUUUUUUCUUAAGGUUGACCUCGGAUCAGGUAGGAAUACCCGCUGA
rnacentral:misc_RNA from 1 species